rnacentral:rRNA from 1 species
AUUGAACGCUGGCGGCAUGCCUUACACAUGCAAGUCGAACGGCAGCACGGGAGCAAUCCUGGUGGCGAGUGGCGAACGGGUGAGUAAUAUAUCGGAACGUGCCCAGUCGUGGGGGAUAACGUAGCGAAAGUUACGCUAAUACCGCAUACGAUCUAUGGAUGAAAGCGGGGGAUCGCAAGACCUCGCGCGAUUGGAGCGGCCGAUAUCAGAUUAGGUAGUUGGUGGGGUAAAGGCUCACCAAGCCGACGAUCUGUAGCUGGUCUGAGAGGACGACCAGCCACACUGGGACUGAGACACGGCCCAGACUCCUACGGGAGGCAGCAGUGGGGAAUUUUGGACAAUGGGCGCAAGCCUGAUCCAGCAAUGCCGCGUGCAGGAAGAAGGCCU